rnacentral:rRNA from 1 species
AGAGCGAACGCUGGCGGCAGGCUUAACACAUGCAAGUCGAGCGGGCGUAGCAAUACGUCAGCGGCAGACGGGUGAGUAACGCGUGGGAACGUACCUUUGGUUCGGAACAACACAGGGAAACUUGUGCUAAUACCGGAUAAGCCCUUACGGGGAAAGAUUUAUCGCCGAAAGAUCGGCCCGCGUCUGAUUAGCUAGUUGGUAGGGUAAUGGCCUACCAAGGCGACGAUCAGUAGCUGGUCUGAGAGGACGAUCAGCCACAUUGGGACUGAGACACGGCCCAAACUCCUACGGGAGGCAGCAGUGGGGAAUAUUGGACAAUGGGGGCAACCCUGAUCCAGCCAUGCCGCGUGAGUGAUGAAGGCCCUAGGGUUGUAAAGCUCUUUUGUGCGGGAAGAUAAUGACGGUACCGCAAGAAUAAGCCCCGGCUAACUUCGUG